UACAGAGGCCUCGAGCGUUAGGCGGAAUCACUGGGCUUAAAGCGUGUGUAGGCGGGUCGUUAAGUGCUUUGUGAAAUCCCCUGGCUCAACCAGGGAACUGCUCGGCAUACUGGCGAUCUUGAGGCAGGUAGGGGUCGCUGGAACCUUAGGUGGAGCGGUGAAAUGCGUAGAUAUCUAAGGGAACGCCUGUGGCGAAAGCGGGUGACUGGGCCUGUCCUGACGCUGAGACGCGAAAGCGUAGGGAGCGAACGGG
rnacentral:rRNA from 1 species